GCCGAUGUAGCUCAGUUGGUAGAGCAGCUGAUUUGUAAUCAGCGGGUCGGGGGUUCGAUUCCUCUCAUCGGCU
rnacentral:tRNA from 1 species